AGAACAAAGUUCUCUCUUUUCAUUCAUCAAUGGUAUUACCUUUUGUUUCAUUUGCCUUUAUUCAUUCUUUUUGGUAUCACAUAUGUUUGGCCUGAAUUCGGGAUUCUUUGGUUCGUUUCUGGUUAUGGAGGUAUUCUGUUCUUUUUUUCUUUCUCGGCACUUGCUUGCUGCCCUCAGCUAAAGUAGCAGCAACCAUUUUGGCUGCUUUACUUGAUCCAAUUUUUGGGUCAGAAUUCCUGGAUAUAAACUUCUUUAAUCCAAAAAGGAGGAGAAGAGAUGAACUUAUGGUGUCCUUGGUUGAAUCGCAUGAGGAAGCUGAAUUUCAUAUGACUCUGCAUCUCUGUGAGGUAAUUCAUGAUUAUCAGGAAUGGUGUUAAUUAUUGAAUGAAAUAAAUCAAUUUCUUGCAUUUAUUUGUGACCCGGACUGCCGCUGUCCUUGGCAUUUUGGAUUUAUCCAGAAUUUUCAUACACAUGAGACAGAUGCUCAAUGUUGAUAGGUUGAAGCUAGACAUCCCAUUCAGGCUUGCUGGCAAAUUACUGGAUAAGCAAGCUGGUCACUAAUGAUCCAUUUGGUCGCUUUUAGAGAAAAAGAACAUAGCUUUCAAUUAUUUGCAUUACUGUUCAUAAUCGCAUGUUUGUAAGAUUCUGAAUUCCUUGUGUGAGAAACUGAGAGACUGACUUUAUUUUGAGUAUGUAAUUGUGUCCAGGCUUUUCUUGAAAAAUUUUACAAUUACACUGCUGGUAUAAAAGCUUGUGUUGUAAUUCUUGUCUGUGACUGUCAAUAUUCUUUUGAUUUGAUGCACCAUGGAACAUGAGAAGUUAAGAUGGCAUGUUACAUCAAACUCUGAAUUGUAAUUAAUUUUUAGAUUUAGCUUGUUCCUGUUUGAUCUACUUCAACUUUGUGGGUGAGUUCAGUACAUUGAGUUUGGGCAGUGGGCUUCAUAUGGUUUGUCAUGGCAAAUGCCUUCAAGAUCAAACAAUGUGCCUUUUCCAUUAUUUUUGUUCAUCAGUAGGAUUUGCUAUGGAACUUUGUUCUGAUUUCUGUGUUUUAGGGAAGAAUAUGACUGAAUAAUAACAGCAUUCCAUUUGGGUAUUCACAGUAGUUGAGCUCUCCAGUAAGGAUUAGAGAAUUGAACAUUUCUCGUAGUUUUGUCCUCUUGUAAGAUUCCCUAUAUGGCUAGGGUCCAAAUAGAGCUGUGAUUGUUUGCAUGACCGAUCAAGUGACAAUUAUGUUUUAAAGGAAAAUGAACCAGGUCGUAUGGUCACUUUAGCAGAUUGAAAGCGACCAAUUUUAACAUGAAUGUGACUUGGCACUGAGUCAUUUUAAGCCAAAGACUCCUGCUUUUGGUUAAGGUACCUUGUAGCCUGUCACAACAACCAAAUAUUGCUACGUAAUUGGUUUGUAGUUGUGCCUUUUUGGCAACUUUCUUUCUGGGCAGUGAACCAUAAGCAUCAUCAUGUGUGGGACAUCAGAAGCCAGACUUGCUUCAGUAUUGGUGGUUGUUACAGCUUCCUGCUCAGGUUUAGCUUAAUAUUUUCUUGUUAGUUGAGAGGGUACGAUUAAAAGUCUUGGCUAAACUGUAGUAGUCAUUCUCUGGUGAGUGGAGUCAAUUCAAGACUUAAAGCUUGAGGUUCAGUUGUUUCAACUUUCAAUGAGCAACUUUUCUUCAAGCUUGGACAAGCAUGUUCUGAUAUUCACUUGGUAUCUCAACCUAAUAAUAUUGAGGACAUCUAAACCUACUGAUAUUGAGGAUGUAUACUUAGAAUGAGUCAUUUUCUUAUGAGGUAGGAGUUGCUGUCAAAUGGUUGAUAUUAUACUACACCUUUAAUUGAGUGAAUUUUAUACUGUUUUAAUCAAUUUCACUAACUUUUACCAUGAAAUCCGCAUCAAAAUGGGGGAAUAAUCAACUCUUUAAUAAAUAGUCGGUGAACUCAAUCCCAUGAUAUGAUGGCCUUAGAAUCAUGAGUUGACAAUAUCUGUAAUUAUUUUCUUGUUGUGAGAUGAUAUCACUGAUUAAUUUGUUUUGUAUUUUAAUAAGGAAUAUUUUUUAUAAUGGGAUAUUAAUAUGAUUACCAAAUGUACAGGGAGACUGUUCUGGGGAAUAAUGGAGGUGUGCAAUUGGACUGUUUUGGGGAACGGGUCUCAGCGCAUUUAAGCUGGAGUAUCCAUAUGUGACUUCUCUGUGCUCCUGCUACAACCUACAGUGCAUACAACAGAUUUUUCCCCUUCGAAUCCCUGCCAAUUGGUGUCAAUAGAUAUCAUAAAGUUACUGUUAUGGCAAUAAAAGUUGCAUACUCCUAAGGGGAUAUGACAAUAAUUAGAAUUUAAAGUAGUUUAUUAAUAUUUUAUUUUCUUAAAAAAAAAUGAUAAUACAUAUAAAUUAUUACACAUUCAACAAUAAA
rnacentral:misc_RNA from 1 species